CAGGAGGCAUGGGAGCAGAGAGGUAGUAUAUAGGAGCUUACGCAUGACCAAUACUUGUGGAAGGCAGCCUGGAGUCCAUCGUGCCCACACCCGGGGGGAAGGUGCUGCACGCAGUGAUGAGAUGCGGAGACCCAGGACUACAGAUGACUCGUGCCCACUUCUCCUUCCCGUGCUUCCGUGGCUACACCCUAGUCACCUAGGACCUAUGCCCUGGCUGCAAAAGCAGGCUUUGCCCAGGAGCUUUUCCGGAGCCCGAGUGAAGAGGCCACUAACAGAGUUUAGGGGGCGGUAGAGAUUAAUGUGGGAUAAGUAUAUCUAAAUAGACUAUGUACACUAAACCAAUGAAGGAGAGGUUUGGCUUUAAGAAAUAAAUAUGUCCCCAACUGAAGAAACCAAGCUGCUGAGUGGGUUCCACAGGUGAGAUACACAUUUAACACGUAACCAGGGCCAGUAUACCUUACUGGUUUAAUUCUAUUACAUUUGUCAUCACUAUACACUGAGUAGAAUACAGUGGAUAAGCAAAGGUUUCUCCACCAUGGAGAGAGAUUUGUGUCACCCCAAACGGUUUCUAUCACCCACCUGUGUGGGAGGACUUCUGAGAAAGUUUUCUUGUUCCAAGGAGCCAUGUGACUCGGUGUGAGGCCUCAGCAGCUCUCUGAGUGAGAAGCCACGUACAUGCUGGAGACAACAUGGCACAAGGGAAAAGCCCUGAAGAGCACAAAAAGAUCGGCUUUUAAAAUAGGCUGCACAGUUAAAAAUUUAAAAUA